UUAAACAGAGCUGGGCCCUCAACAGUGGCAGGAAGACUGGGUUAUUAAGGGGAGCAGCUUUCUUAGGAGAGCCUCCCAGGCAGCAUGAUAGGUUCCUGUGGAUGAGUUCUGAGGUAGUGCCCAAAGGGAAUUGAAGUCAGGCCUGGGAGGGGUGAAGGAGCUGCUGUAUGUGAAGUUGAGCUCAGGAGAGUGAAGAACCUAUUUUUAGAGGUGACUAUUGGAAGGGGACUGAGCUGUUGUGUGAUUUGGCUGGAGGGCUGAGACCCUGAAGCCCUUGUGAGGAAGUCUGGGGAGGAGAUCAGCUGGGUGUGAUUGCUCUGGCAACCAAUUGGUGGGUGAGGCAAAGAACCCUGCAAUGCCAUGUCCAGAUGUGAAGAGGUGACCUAGAGGGGAUGAGCCAUAUCCGCUCUCAGAAACUGUCACGACUGAUGGAUUGAUUUAAAAUCGCAGCAGAGAACCACAGAAGAAUGUGAAGAGAGCAGGCCAACGUAUCCUUGAAUGGCAGGGGCCAGGGCCAGCAAGGACCAGGUGUCACAGGGUUUUGGAGUGGUCACUUCUAAUACAAUGACGAUCCAGCCAGAGAGGCCUGCAGCAUCCAGAUUGCAGGUGCCUGUCCCAGCAUCUCUCCUGUGACAGCAAGCAAAGGUCUAAUGGAGUCUGGACACUUAAUGAGGUGUGGAAAAGCUAUUGUCUUCCCCGUGAAACUUCCUUUUCUAUUGGCUUGGCUGGUAGUUUCUGGCCUAAGGUCUCUGGUUGAUGGCACAGGGACAUGUGUCCCAAGCUGGUGCCCUAUUGAGGACCACU